UGAGUAAGCUAGAUGGUCGCUGCCAUGAGUAAUCAUGGGAGAGGAAAGUCCGAGCUCCAUAGGGCAGGGUGCUGGGUAACACCCAGUGGGGGCGACCCUAAGGAAAGUGCAACAGAGAUAUACCGCCACAAUCAAUCUGAUGAUUGAUGAGUGCAACAAUUGUUGCGUGGUAAGGGUGGAAAGGUGAGGUAAGAGCUCACCAGCACACUGGCGACAGUGUGGCUCUGUAAACCCCACCUGGAGCAAGACCAAAUAGGAGGGCUUAUGCGCUGGCCCGGCGUGCCCUCGGGUAGUGUCGCUUGAGCCUACUGGCAACAGUAGGCCUAGAUAGAUGACCAUCCACGACAGAACUCGGCUUACAGGCUUACUCAAUUA
rfam:Thermobrachium celere DSM 8682 genomic scaffold, scaffold33